rnacentral:lncRNA from 1 species
UACAAAUUGCUUCAUGCAGGGCAAGCGAAACCCCUGGGGAUAUUAGCAGCAGAUGGAGGAAGUCGUGCUUGGCCUGCCAUGAGCACAGCAGCAACCGCUGCUUCCUGGCAACUGAAAGAUGCAACACGAUCUGCAUGCAAACCUCUACCAGGAAGUGGCAGAAGUGCCCAUGGACCAGAUAGUGAUCUGGCCAGAGGCUACAUCCUCCACACACCAGCCUGUGACCUUUUCACAGCUUUGGGCGGAACCCAUCAAUUAAAUGUUUUGACUCAGCGGCCACUUAUGUGUCACCAAAAAAAAAAAAAAAAAAAAAAGGAGGGGGGAAAGAUACCAGUUUGCAUAAUAUUUGCAUUUGCUAAUGCACACCAAUAGGUACAAAAAAAUGGGGGGGGGGAAUACAAUAGGUUAAGUAGAAGUACAAUUUAUCUCAGCAUUGUGACUCUUGAUGGGUAACUUCUAGGCCCUUCGUCUCCCUUACUGGGAUUCUUUAUCGUGAAACAGAAAUUAGAUGCUUUCAAACAGAGAACAGUCCUCUGUAAAGCAGGAUUCAUGGACACCCUAUUUGUGCAGACCUGUCCUUUUGUUCCUUUGUUGUUCUUUACAAGAGUUACUAUUUCAUUGAUGGCCUGCAAGCUGUUACUAUUAUAAAAUUUUUCUUCAUGGGUUAUUGCGAUACCUGUAGUGGCGUUUUCAGUAUUCCUGAGGUGCAUUAAGUGAGAGGCCCACUGCUGUCUGAUGUUAUUGCCUGGCCACCCACAAUGCAAGGAGCAAACUAUAAAGAUUGGGAGGAAGGUUGUCUAGUGUGGCUUUAUCUGGCCAAAAUGGAUUAGGACUUGAACCAAUGGCUUCAAGUUACAAGAAAGGAGAUUUUGACUAUACAUAUGGAAAAGUAAGAAUUGUUUGACAGUGGAACAGUCUCCCUCGGGAGGUUGUGGACUCUCCUUCCUUGGUUUGAGAUUCCUGCAUUGCAGGGGGUUGGACUGGAUGACCUUUAGGGUCCCUUUCAACUGUACAAUUCUACGAUUAGGACCUGGGAGACAAAGGUUCAAAUCCCUACUCUGUCAUGAAGUUCACAGGGUGACAUUGCACCAGUCAUUGUUUCUCAGGGUUGUAGUGAGGAUAAAACGGGGAAGAGUGCAUGCCACUUUGAGCUCCUGGAAGGAAAGGUGGGAUAUAAAUACAAUGGUAAAUAGACUGUAAGUAAUGGCAGGUGUACUUCAAUCACACAUCACCAAAUUCAGGCUACACAAUUAAAGUGGAUUUGGUGCUCUUGCACAACAGACUUGCUUCCCUCCCAAAACUGAACCGUUUGCCAUGAGGAUAGUGAUUGGAAAAUGCAUUCGAAAGUAUGAGAUCACAAACAAAUUUUAGAAUGAAUGCUAUAUAAAGAUUCUGUCCUCUCUCUGGUCAGAAAUUAUUGCACCCACGACUCAGUCGUCUAAAGAUCUCACUGCCUUGUCUGUGUUUGAAUGCAUGGCUUAUAAUCACCAGUCUCAUUUAGACACCUAUUUGGACAUAUACACUACCUAUAUAUUAAGCUAUCUGUUUAAGUUAGGACUGAUGGAACAGCCUCAUGUCCAACAUCAACUGGCAAUGUUUUUUCUUUUCUGUUAUGUUCACAAAUAAGGCAUCAUCUAACCCCUCUGUACCCCUUCAUGGAUCACUACCUUGCCGUGGUGAAGGGGCUUGAAGAACUCAGAGAAGCUAUGAACUAUGCCGAGCAGGGCACCCAAGAUGAACAGGUCAUAGUGGAGAGUUUUGACCAAACGUGAUCCACCUGGAGGAGGAACCAGCAAGCCACUCCAGUAUCCCUGCCAAGAAAACUCCAUGGACAAAGACAACAGGCAUAUAAAAGUUAUGACGCUGGAAGAUGAGCCCCUCAGGUCGGAAGGCGUCCAACAUGCUACUGGGGAAGAGCGGAGGACAAGUACAAGUAGAUCCAGAGCUGAUGAAGCGGCUGGGCUAAAGCCGAAAGGACGCUCAGUUGCGGAUAUGCCUGGAAGCGAAAGGAAAGUCCAAUGCUGUAAAGAAAAAUAUUGCAUAGGAACCUGGAAUGUAAGAACCAUGAACCUGGGUAAGUUGGAUGUGGUCAAAAAUGAGAUGGCAAGAAUAAAUAUUGACAUCCUGGGCAUCAGUGAACUAAAAUGGACGGGAAUGGGCAAAUUCAGUUUGGAUGACCAUCAUAUCUACUACUGUGGGCAAGAAACCCGCAAAAGAAAUGGAGUGGCCCUCAUAGUCAACAAAAGAGUGGCGAAAGCUGUACUGGGAUGCAAUCUCAAAAAUGAUAGAAUGUUCUCGAUACAAAUCCAAGGCAGACCUUUUAACAUAACAGUAAUCCAAGUUUAUGCACCAACUACUGGUGCUGAAGAAACUGAAAUUGACCAAUUCUAUGAAGACUUACAACACCUUAUUGAAGUGACACCAAAGAAGGAUGUUCUUCUCAUUAUAGGGGAUUGGAAUGCUAAAGUAGGGAAUCAAGAGAUAAAAGGAACAACUGGCAAGUUUGGCCUUGGAGUUCAAAACGAAGCAGGGCAAAGGCUAAUAGAGUUCUGCCAAGAGAACAAGCUGGUCAUCACAAACACGCUUUCCAACAACACAAGACGACUCUACACAUGGACAUCACCAGAUGGGCAGCAUCGAAAUCAGAUUGAUUAUAUUCUCUGCAGCCAAAGAUGGAGAAGCUCUAUACAGUCAGCAAAAACAAGACCUGGAGCUGAAUGUGGCUUAGAUCAUCAGCUUCUUAUAGCAAAAUUCAAGCUUAAACUG